CACGUAGGGUCCGAGCGUUGUCCGGAGUUACUGGGCGUAAAGCGCGCGCAGGCGGUCGCGCACAUCAGCGGUGAAAGCCCCCCGCUCAACGGGGGAGGGUCCGUCGAGAUGGCGCGACUGGAGGCAGGGAGAGGGCGGUGGAAUUCCGGGUGUAGUGGUGAAAUGCGUAGAGAUCCGGAGGAACACCAGUGGCGAAGGCGGCCGCCUGGACCUGGCCUGACGCUGAGGCGCGAAGGCGCGGGGAGCGAACGGG
rnacentral:rRNA from 1 species